rnacentral:rRNA from 1 species
AGGUGUGGGAGGUGUCGACUCCUCCCGUGCCGUCGCUAACGCACUAAGUGCCCCGCCUGGGGAGUACGGCCGCAAGGCUAAAACUCAAAGGAAUUGACGGGGGCCCGCACAAGCAGCGGAGCAUGUGGUUUAAUUCGACGCAACGCGAAGAACCUUACCUGGGCUUGACAUGUUGGUGACUGCCGUGGAAACACGGUUUUCCUUCGGGACACCAUCACAGGUGGUGCAUGGCUGUCGU